UACGGGGGGUGCAAGCGUUGUUCGGAAUUAUUGGGCGUAAAGAGCGUGUAGGCGGUUUGUUAAGUCUGAUGUGAAAGCCCUGGGCUCAACCCAGGAAGUGCAUUGGAAACUGGCAGACUUGAAUACGGGAGAGGGCAGUGGAAUUCCUAGUGUAGGAGUGAAAUCCGUAGAUAUCAGGAAGAACACCAAUGGCGAAGGCAGCUCUCUGGGACGGUACUGACGCUGAGACGCGAAAGCGUGGGGAGCGAACAGG
rnacentral:rRNA from 1 species